rnacentral:lncRNA from 1 species
UCCCUCACAGAUGAACAUUUUAAGGAGUAAGUUAUUAAACAUAAAUUACAUAAAGCUUUCAAGUCGCAGAUGAAUGGAACUGCAGUACUUGCAAGUCAAACAGAAGCAAAGAGAAGCAGCAGCCAGGAGCCUCCUGAUGGCUAGACAACUCUUCAGAACAGAUGCAAAUAAAAGACUCAGGGAAAUGUCUCCAGAGUACUUUCACUGAGACCUGGCAAUCAGAGAAACAGCCAGUGGCAAAGUUUUAGAGAUAAAAAGAGUUCACUAUAGACACCAUAGAAAAUUGCUGUUUUACCCAAUGACUCUGGAAACCCUUGAGAAAAUAUGGCGGAGAGUUUAUUGCCAAAUGGACUUGCCAUCUUGGGAAGUGCUUCACAAACUUCACUCACUAUAUCUGGCCAGUUCUCCUCAAUGCUAGGAAUAGGAAAGAGAGAAGAGGUCACUUCCACCAAAGAAACCCUGUGGCUCAUGAAAGGUGAGUUCAAUUUGUUUACCUCAGUGUUAUCCCAUUUUUUUUAGAGAAAAAGAAUAUU